CCGCGCCCGCCGAAGACAUCUCGAACUCUGUCUGAAGAUUGUAGUCUGAGUAAAAAUAUAAAUUAUUUAAAACUUUCAACAACGGAUCUCUUGGUUCCGGCAUCGAUGAAGAACGCAGCGAAAUGCGAUACGUAAUGUGAAUUGCAGAAUUCAGUGAAUCAUCGAGUCUUUGAACGCACAUUGCGCCCUCUGGUAUUCCGGAGGGCAUGCCUGUCCGAGCGUCAUUGCUGCCCUCAAGCACGGCUUGUGUGUUGGGCCCCGUCCUCCGAUCCCGGGGGACGGGCCCGAAAGGCAGCGGCGGCACCGCGUCCGGUCCUCGAGCGUAUGGGGCUUUGUCACCCGCUCUGUAGGCCCGGCCGGCGCUUGCCGAUCAACCAAAUUUUUAUCCAGGUUGACCUCGGAUCAGGUAGGGAUACCCGCUGAACUUAAGCAUAUCAAUACAGCGGAGGAAACCUUGUUNANAUUUUNCAUUCCUCUUANCUGGAGGAAA
rnacentral:rRNA from 1 species